GGGUAGGGAACCAAACUAGGUUGCAUGAAUACUAAAAGAAAUUUGGGCUUAUCUCCUUCAACAUUGUAAUUUCUCAUGUUAAUUGGUGAAAAAUCCAAACAUCACACUGAGACAGAUGAUCUCCUGUUGAAGGAAGAAGGAAGACUCUUUUCUCUUGUGUUUUGUACGCUGCUGGAAUCCUGACUGGUUUUUUUAGUACACCGAACAACCCCCCUUGCUACACCUUUUGGAACCCUUGGAUACCCCCUUUGGAUUGCCUCCAUCAUCGCCUUGGAUUUGGAUUCAUCAUCAUCGCCUCUACAUUAACUUGCCCCUGUGAUUGUGGUAGGAUCUGGACAUUGCACCUUGCACAGAUUGGAAGACUGAAUCAUUCCCCCUUUUCUUUUCUUUAUUAUUUUCUUUGAGUGCACUCAUACUUUAUUUUGGAUUAUUUUCUUUAAUUUGUUAGUGUAGAAUAUGGCUGCAUAAGUAAUAUAUUAGAAGGGCAUAAAAUAGAAUAUAGAUAGAUAUAGACAAUAAAUAGAAUAUUAGGAAGAACUUUUAAAAAGUAUAAUAGAGUAAAAAAAAAAAUAUAU